CACAUUUUAUAAAUACUAUAGUUGUACUGGUUAAAUUCAAGAUAAUAAUACAAAAAUCAUUCUCUGCAUAUUCUAUUUUUCUUUCAAGUUUUUGUAGAUAUUAACAUGGUAAACGUCGGACAACAAUGAUUGACAGAGGCAGCAACAUAUUCACUUGAUUAUUGAAGGUUAUGAAUUGACUGGUUUUUUUUGGAGGGAACGUUACCUGGUCUGCCGCAUUUUGUGCUGUCUUUGGAGGGAUCUCUAGUUCCAAAUCCGGAUGCCUGAGCAUUCUUUCAGCAGGAUAGGUUACUUGCCUCUUUCUGGUUAUUUUCUACUAUUAGUCCUUCACUGUUGUCUUCUUUUACAUAUGCUAGGAUGGCGUGCGAUGUUUGGAACACUGCCACUUGCCUCUUCACUACCGUCACAGGUGUCAAGUUAUCUUGCAUUCGCCAUGAUUUACACUCGCUUAAGAAAGGUAAUCUGUUGAUAAUGGAGUAGGUAGUAAAGAUUCAGAAUACCUGUGCUUUAAUCGAGGCUUGUCGAUCUUGGAUCUCGGAGGCAGAGAAAGUGGAUAUCGUACUUGUGGGCCUACCACCGGAGUUCAACGCCGUGCUCACCUUAGCGUCAUUCUUGUCGGAAGCCUUACAGUUACAACACCGCAUGGAUGAGUUGUUGGAGUAUGGAAGUCGCUAAAUUCGCGUGGUUCAGGAGGUGCCGUUUCAUGCUAACCUUUUGGAGACUAUUCCGUCACCGCCGGUGGUGGACUCUGUGCGUGUUGGCCGUCCCCUACUGGUGGUUGUGGGAAGAGGUUUCGAUCCAAACUCCAAUGUUAGAUCUGUGGUCAGUUUGGGCAUUAGCUCAACGUUUUUAAUAUUGUCAUAAUCGCGACUACAGUGGUCUGACAUUAGUGGCCUGGGCUUCAAAUUCGACCGAUCGUACUAGGCAGGGUUCGGAUGUUGGUUUCUCAUUUCUAUCGCCCGCCUCUAGUCAGUUUGGUGGCCUUUCGUAGACGGCGCCAUCACGAUUUCUUUCUGGUAAAUGGUAGGGUGGUCACUUGUCUACUGCGCCUCCCC
rnacentral:lncRNA from 1 species